rnacentral:rRNA from 1 species
UGGGGGAUAUUGCACAAUGGGCGAAAGCCUGAUGCAGCGACGCCGCGUGGGGGAUGAAGGCCUUCGGGUUGUAAACUUCUUUUGCUCUGAACAAGGCGCACCAUGGGGUGUGUUGAGUGUAGGGGUUGAUUAGCGCCGGCUAACUACGUGCCAGCAGCCGCGGUAAUACGUAGGGCGCGAGCGUUGUCCGGAAUUAUUGGGCGUAAAGGGCUGGUAGGUGGCUGGUUGCGUCUGUCGUGAAAGCUCAUGGCUUAACUGUGGGUCUGCGGUGGGAACGGGCUGGCUUGAGUGCAGUAGAGGAAGCUGGAAUUCCUGGUGUAGCGGUAGAAUGCGCAGAUAUCAGGAGGAAUACCGGUGGCGAAGGCGGGUCUCUGGGCUGUUACUGACACUGAGGAGCGAAAGCAUGGGGAGCGAACAG